CCAAUAGCGUAUAUUAAAGUUGUUGUGGUUAAAAAGCUCGUAGUUGAACCUUGGGCCUGGCUGGCCGGUCCGCCUCACCGCGUGUACUGGUCCGGCCGGGCCUUUCCCUCUGUGGAACCCCAUGCCCUUCACUGGGCGUGGCGGGGAAACAGGACUUUUACUGUGAAAAAAUUAGAGUGCUCCAGGCAGGCCUAUGCUCGAAUACAUUAGCAUGGAAUAAUAGAAUAGGACGUGUGGUUCUAUUUUGUUGGUUUCUAGGACCGACGUAAUGAUUAAUAGGGACAGUCGGGGGCAUCAGUAUUCAAUUGUCAGAGGUGAAAUUCUUGGAUUUAUUGAAGACUAACUACUGCGAAAGCAUUUGCCAAGGAUGUUUUCAUUAAUCAGGAACGAAAGUUAGGGGAUCGAAGACGAUCAGAUACCGUCGUAGUCUUAACCAUAAACUAUGCCGACUAGGGAUCGGACGGUGUUAUUUUUUGACCCGUUCGGCACCUUACG
rnacentral:rRNA from 1 species